GACGAACGCUGGCGGCGUGCCUAAUACAUGCAAGUCGAACGAGAGCGACCGGUGCUUGCACUGGUCAAUCUAGUGGCGAACGGGUGAGUAACACGUGGGUAACCUGCCCAUCAGAGGGGGAUAACAUCCGGAAACGGAUGCUAAAACCGCAUAGGUCUUCGAACCGCAUGGUUUGAAGAGGAAAAGAGGCGCAAGCUUCUGCUGAUGGAUGGACCCGUGGUGCAUUAGCUAGUUGGUGAGGUAACGGCUCACCAAGGCCGUGAUGCAUAGCCGACCUGAGAGGGUGAUCGGCCACAUUGGGACUGAGACACGGCCCAAACUCCUACGGGAGGCAGCAGUAGGGAAUCUUCCGCAAUGGACGCAAGUCUGACGGAGCAACGCCGCGUGAGUGAAGAAGGUUUUCGGAUCGUAAAACUCUGUUGUUAGAGAAGAACAAGUGCUAGAGUAACUGUUAGCGCCUUGACGGUAUCUAACCAGAAAGCCACGGCUAACUACGUG
rnacentral:rRNA from 1 species